rnacentral:rRNA from 1 species
AUUGAACGCUGGCGGCGCGCCUAAUACAUGCAAGUCGAGCGAGAAGACGUAGCAAUACGUUUGUAAAGCGGCGAACGGGUGAGGAAUACAUGGGUAACCUACCCUCGAGUGGGGAAUAACUAGCCGAAAGGUUAGCUAAUACCGCGUACGCUCCUUGGACUUCGGUUCAGGGAGGAAAACGAUACCGUGGGUAUCGCGCUCUUGGAUGGGCUCAUGUCCUAUCAGCUUGUUGGGAGGUAACGGCUCACCAAGGCUUCGACGGGUAGCUGGUCUGAGAGGACGAUCAGCCACACUGGCACUGCGACACGGGCCAGACUCCUACGGGA